AAGAAUUAUUCGAGAUAAUUCGGACAUUAUGUCUCUAAGCGAUAAAAGCUUCAUGCAAAAUUUCCGCCUUAAUAAGCACGCAUUUUUAUAUGUUUUGGACAACAUAAGACCCCAAUUAAAAGUCGCUCAAAGGACCACAUCAAUUCCAGAAAUUGUAAAACUGUCAACAACCUUGAAGUUCCUCGCACAGGGCGGGUAUCAACACUCGGUCGGCCAAGAUAGGCAUUCAGGGCUAGCCCAACAAUCGGUUUCCCGAUGCAUCUUGGAAGUGUGUGAUGCCAUCGAGAAAACUCUGUGCCCAAAGCAUAUCGUGUUUCCCUUGACCAUUGAGGAAAAAAUUGAAGCAAAUAGAACCUUUUACUUGACGUCCGGAAUUCCAGGCGUAAUUUGAGUGAUUGAUGGGACGCACAUCCAGUUGAUACGACCAUCACGGAAUGAACACUUAUUUUUUAAUCGUAAACUAAAACACAACAUAAAUGCAAUGGUGAUAUGUGAUCACAAAAUGCAGAUAAGGGCAGUAAAUGGUAGAUUUGGAGGAGCGUCGCAUGACUCCCACGUAUGGAACCUCUCAGGAGAACGUGCAAGUUUGAGGACGAACUACGAAAAUGGAAAUAGAAGCGAACGAAUUCUUGGAGACUCCGGAUAUCCUCUUGAACCUUGGCUGCUAACGCCAUAUAGGAAUGCGCCAGAACGUUCUGAUGAACUCUAUUUCAUCCAACAGUUUACAAAAGGCCGAUUCCUCUAUUGACAAUAACUCACUCACUUGUU
rnacentral:misc_RNA from 1 species